rnacentral:lncRNA from 1 species
UAUUUUUCUUCUCCCAAAUUAGCCCCGGACAUUUUUCCAGGCAAGAUCUUUCGGACUGCAGGAACAAUAAUGGAGGGUAGUGACCUGGAGUUAAAAUGUAGUACACAUGGACGCAAAGAUGAACAAAAAAAUGUACAUGUUUAUUUGUGCAAGAAUGGUGUUGCUUUUGAAAAAAUCAUGAAUAGAAAAGAUGAUACUAUUUUCACCCUGAGAAAUAUGGACAGACAACAGAGUGGUAAUUACAGCUGUGUUCUCUAAUAACUUGUACACACUCUCUGAAGUCCGAGAGAAAGGGGACAAUUCCAUUUAUAUCCAGGUCAUUGAUCGGAUUCUCCCUGCAGUCAUAUCAAUUACAGGCUCAAACACAGCAAAACAGGGAGAUGAUGUGGAGUUUAAGUGUACUAUUUCAGACCCCAUACUUACCAGUGAAUUAGUUCACUCUUACCUCUGCAAGAAUGGAACUCAUGUUCAGGUGCAGGUUUUUGAUGUUUAUAGAAUGGAGGCAACUUUUACUAUUAAGGAUGUUAAACUGAAUGACAGAGGGAACUACAGCUGUGUGCUUGACCUGCAACCAAAGCGCAAUGAAUUUACAGAGAGGCAAUUAUAUGGAAGCAAUACAGCAUUUCUUCAGGUUGAUGUGUGGAGUGACCCAACCUCAGUGGUCAUGGUCUGUGUCGGUUUUCUGAUCUUAUCAGCAAUUCUGGGCAUAUGGUGGCUGAUCAGAAAACAAGGUCAGGAUAUUCUCUUCAACCAUAUAAUUGUUAGAAGUAAAAAAAAUCUAAAUCUCUCUCU